AUCAAGAGAUGGAGGUGGAUUAUGCCACUAAAGUUGGGGCUGCAUUUGGAAGACAGGAGCAUUGGGUAUGGCUGUGCAACUGAUUCCUGCAAGUUAUGGAGAAGCAAAUGAGGUUUCUUCUUCGUUUGAUGAAAGAAAGUCAAAAUAGUUGCUCUGUUCCUUUGCUAAUGGGUUCAUUUUCUUGUUAUUAACCAGUUUGGGAAUCCCAGUAUGUCCAGUUACCUUUUUAUGCAAUAAAAUUACCAUCUUGUUGGUAGUUGGUGAAAUAAGUUUAAAGAAAAAUGGUUGACAUAUAUGCUUGCUUAGCGGAGUGAAAACAAAGUAAUAUUAUUGCCUGUUAUUUAUAGUUAGAAUAUUUGCUUGUUGUACAAUCAUCUUCACUCUUGUCAAGUCACAAAAUGGUUUUGAAAUGGCUGUGCCCAUUGCCAUAGCAGCAAGACAACUUUCUAAUCUUUUGAGCAUAUUCCAUUCUUGGAAAGAUGAAGGAGAUAUCUUAAGGCUUGUCAAAUAUCAAUAGUUGGGAAAUGCGCACAAAGGUAGCCGAUGGUGUUCGCACACUUGUUGAAGAAGGAUUUGCUGCAGUAAAGCAGAAGAAUUGAAGCUUGGCUCGGGAACCAAGAAUACGACAGCAACAAAAUCUGUCAAGGAUUUGAUGGUUGAAGGACCUUUGUCCGAUGAUCACUUUGUGGAAGUAGAACCAAAGAGAAGAAUAAAAUGGUUGAGAAAUUGAUGGAAGAACUGGGGG